rnacentral:misc_RNA from 1 species
GGUGCAGCCUCGCACUGGUGUGAUAUUGCAGGUGGGCUUAGGCACUAGAAAUUAAUGGGUCUCUAUGCAGGUGUGUGGAGUCAAGGAGUUACUUCGGGUAUUGUGAGAAAUGCAGGGAUAUGAAAGUGGAGCAGGGGAGAAAGAAAUGGUUAUUUUGUGGGUUUUUCUAUGAAGGGUUGUUGCCGGUGUAAUGAAGGAUUUGUGGAGAAGAAUGAUAAUGUUGGUGAGAAUAAUACUGGAAACCAUUAGCU